rnacentral:rRNA from 1 species
AUUGAACGCUGGCGGAAUGCUUUACACAUGCAAGUCGAACGGCAGCACGGACUUCGGUCUGGUGGCGAGUGGCGAACGGGUGAGUAAUGUAUCGGAACGUGCCCAGUCGUGGGGGAUAACGUAGUGAAAAUUACGCUAAUACCGCAUACGAUCUAUGGAUGAAAGCGGGGGAUCGCAAGACCUCGCGCGAUUGGAGCGGCCGAUAUCAGAUUAGGUAGUUGGUGGGGUAAAGGCCCACCAAGCCAACGAUCUGUAGCUGGUCUGAGAGGACGACCAGCCACACUGGAACUGAGACACGGUCCAGACUCCUACGGGAGGCAGCAGUGGGGAAUUUUGGACAAUGGGCGAAAGCCUGAUCCAGCCAUUCCGCAUGCAGGAUGAAGGCCCUCGGGUUGUAAACUGCUUUUGUACAGAACGAAAAGGUUUCUACUAAUACUAGGAGCUCAUGACGGUACUGUAAGAGUAAGCACCGGCUAACUACGUGCCAGCAGCCGCGGUAA